rnacentral:tRNA from 1 species
GUAGGUGUAGCUCAGCUUGGUUAGAGCGUCUGACUGUGGCUCAGAAGGCCGGGAGUUCAAAUCUCCUCACCUACC